CUUUUUCAUCAUUAGGUCCCUCAAAUUUGUCAGCAAAAAUUAUCUUUAUUCUAACACUCCACCACACACACACACACACACACACACAAAUAAAUAACAAAGGCACUUUUAAGAGACACGUCCGUCUUGUUAACCUGUACCCAUCAUCUGUACUCUCUUCAGCUCUCUUUCUCGCUCCCCUCUGUCUCUCUUUGUCCCCCCUCCCUGUUUAUUUGUUUUAUUUGUCCAUCUCUUUAUUGUGAGUCUUUCUGUCUGUUUGUUUUUCUGUCCAUCACUAUGUCCAUGAGUGAUUCAGAAAUCCAAGAAAAUCUAAUGGUCUUGGAUAACUUGGUUGAUCAUCAAGAACUGAAGGAUGAGCUCCAAAGUCUUGAGGACUUUCUUGGUGAGCUGCAAGAAGAGGAGGCGGCAGCAGCACCAGCAAAGACACCUGAGCCAAGGCAACCAAGGGUGCACUGGAGAAAAAGAGACGUGCAUGGAAAUAUUGUCUAUGCAAGGCCGAGAUCAAGCAGGGAUCAGUCAAAAAGGGCUGAUCACAUUCAGAACAUUGAUCCUCCCUUCAAUGCUCCUGACACUAACUGUGAGGUGGCCUUUGCUCCAGAGACUGUUGAGUGUUUUCUACAAGAUCUCCAGCACUCACUGAGCGAUUCCUCAGGUGAUGAGGCAUCACCUCUUGGAACCCCAAGAGAUCCUCUUCUGGCAUCCUCGAACUGAAGCAUAAGUCAGAGUCUCUUUUCAGAGAGGUGGAGGGCAGAGAGACCCCGUCUGGUAAACACGGCUGCAGCAAAAGAAAGUGUGGCAACACACAUCUGCCAACAGUGUUGGAGCAGUCCAGCAGUUAUCCGGUGCAGUGACUGUCGACCACGCCCCUUCUUCUGUGCUGAAUGUGACAUCAGCAUGCACACCAGACAUGUCCUCCACAAUAGAGAUGCCAUGACUGCUGGAUUCUUCCAGCCAUUGCCUCCAACAACUGUCGUGGUGGAUAAAGCGCUUUCCCAAUGUGGCAUACCAAGCCACUUGGAGUGCUGCAGUGGCCGACCUAAACAGCAGUGACUACUGGCCGGCAGCUCUUCAGUUUGCCACAAUUUAUACUACCGAUAUAUUUUUCUCAUUCGAGGAAAUGAAGAUGGUGGCACCAGGACUGUCCUGCCAAGCAUUUUUAAGAAUGCUGGAUCAGUGAACUUGUUCGCUUUGGUCGUAUCUGAGGAACAGGCCAUCUUUGAAGGCAUCUUUAUAGCCAAGGAUGAAGAUGUUACAAGAUUUGUGGACCACAUUCACAGCACAACCAAACAUGUUAAAGUGUAUAUGAUGAUAAAUAAAACUACAAUACUACAGUAACCUCUUACUGAAGAGUUUGUUUAGAAGAGUCUUGUUUUCAUUGACCAUUAUCCAUUGUAGGUCAGUGGGAGAGGUGUUUGGGGGGAGUGGUCAGCAGCCAGAGAGACCUCCCAAAGAUCUGCCAGCAAGGUAGAUGAAGAGGGAUUGGAGCUUGCGGUUUGUCGGCACGGAGUGCUGCUCUGUGCUUUAAAUAUGUACAGGGGUGACAUUUUUGCCUAUCCCCUGUACCUUCAAGAAAAGCUGGCCAGUAGGCAAGUCACUUUUUUUGUAUGGAUGUGACCUGCAAAUAUUGGCCCUACCUGCAAAGAGUUGCAAAAAGCUGCCCAGAGCUCCAGCACCUCCUUAACAUGAGGCCAUUCCUUUCGGUAUUUCAUGCCAAAGCCCAUGAUUUUAAAUGUGAGGUGAAAUGGAGUGGGGCGUAUGAGGAUGGGGCUGGACUAACACUAGGGGAGGAGGUGGAACAGUGCAAUGCCUUCCUCUCUAGGAUUGCAGUGACGACAAAAGCAGGACGCACAGACAUGCUGACUCUCAUGGCCAUGCGCUGGAAUCAGCAAAAGUUCCGAAAUUUGGCAAUUUCACUGACUCGCCAAUAUCAGAAGAUUCACCAUGUGGCUUAAGUGAAGAGGGUUUGAAAGGUCUGCAGAGCAUCAUCCUCAGAAAGCAACAAAGUCAGAGAAAUGAAGGUGCAAGCAAGAGACUGUUACCUGCAAGUUUUGUCUGGAGAAGGCAACAUCAACUUUUUGUACAGUGCUUCAGCUGAUGAGUAUGACAGUGACUGUGAAAUGUCUGAUGACGGACUGUAAUCCACAAGACUGUGACACAUUUCAUCGUUCUGGACAAUGACCUUAACUCUGGAUAUAAAGAAUGUAAUAAAAUCUGCUUUUCAUCACCUUUAUAAAUGGAACCAAAAGUAUUGCCUCUUCUUUCACAUACAUAGAAAUGUGUGCAUGCAUGCCUCUAGAACCAGUAUGUGGUGGAAAUUAAGUGCAUUAAUUACUUAGAGAUUUGAGGUAUGAGUUGUUUCUUCUCAUCCAAAUUUUUACUUAUACUCCACUGCAAUUCAGAGAGAGAAAAAAUGCACUUGACAGCACAUGGAGAGCUUAUAAAAUGACAUUUUGUUGCAAAAGAAACUUCUCAACAGUACAAUUAGUUGAUUGGCAGAAAAUGAAUUGCCAAAUAAUUUUCAUGCAAAAACAUUUAAUGGUUCCAGCAUGUAUUUUUUAUUUGAGGUUUGAACUGUUCACAGCUUUUAUCAAUGUAUCUUAUCUUUUUUGGGUUGUGUGUAAUUGUGUCUGUAUUUCUCAUUUUCAUACUUGCUCACAAACCAAACUCUUCAUUUGUUGAGAAAUAAAUAGCAGAUUAAUUUAUUAUGAAAAUAAUCAUUAGUGUAGGUUGUGUACAAAAUAAUUAAUAAUAAUCUUCCAUGAGUAAUAAUAAUCUAAGGUUAUAUGAUUCACAGGGGAAAAUGAAAUAUUAGAAAACAGCUUUCGGCUGUGAAAGUGUAGAGUGUACUUUAAAUGUAGGGUGUUAUAUAACAACUGAAACCUUUUUAGAGACAUAGAAGAAGCAAAUUAUGAGGAAGAAAACCAUUAUGAUGAGGAAUCAUUAUUUCCCAGUAUAAUAUUACAUCUGCUUAUGUGUCAUCUAGUAAAAGUAUUGGAGUCAACUGAUUUGAUUCUGUGGUCAAAACAUUUCACCACUUGUGUAGCUUCAUCAGCUGUGACCUGAUAAACAGCAUGAUGAUAGCAAUUUUGAAGUCCCUUUUUAUUUCUAUUGAAUCCAAUUUGUCUUUAUACUAUUUUAUAAAGUAUCUUUAUUCUAUUUUGUAGUCUACAAUAAAAUGAUUUACAUGGUGUAUUGUAUAAUAAAUUAUGUUAAUUGUUUUGAAAAUAAAAAAUGCACUAUAUCAUCUUA
ensembl:lncRNA